rnacentral:rRNA from 1 species
UACAGAGGUCUCAAGCGUUGUUCGGAUUCAUUGGGCGUAAAGGGUGCGUAGGCGGCGCGGUAAGUCGGGUGUGAAAUCUUGGAGCUUAACUCCGAAACUGCAUUCGAUACUGCGGUGCUUGAGGACUGGAGAGGAGACUGGAAUUCAUGGUGUAGCAGUGAAAUGCGUAGAGAUCAUGAGGAAGACCAGUGGCGAAGGCGGGUCUCUGGACAGUUCCUGACGCUGAGACACGAAGGCCAGGGGAGCAAACGGG